rnacentral:rRNA from 1 species
UUAAAGGAAUUGGCGGGGGAGCAAUACAACGGGUGGAGCCUGCGGUUUAAUUGGAUUCAACGCCGGAAAUCUCACCGGGGGCGACAGCAUGAUGAAGGCUAGGCUGAAGACCUUGCCUGAUCCGCUGAGAGGUGGUGCAUGGCCGUCGUCAGUUCGUACUGUGAAGCAUCCUGUUAAGUCAGGCAACGAGCGAGACCCACGCCCACAGUUGCCAGCGAGCCCUUCGGGGUGGCGGGUACUCUGUGGGGACCGCCGCUGCUAAAGCGGAGGAAGGAAUGGGCAACGGUAGGUCAGUAUGCCCCGAAUCUCCCGGGCUACACGCGGGCUACAAUGGUCGGUACAAUGGGUAUCUACCCCGAGAGGGGAUGGAAAUCUCCUAAAACCGGUCGUAGUUCGGAUUGAGGGCUGCAACUCGCCCUCAUGAAGCUGGAAUCCGUAGUAAUCGCGUUUCAACAGAACGCGGUGAAUACGUCCCUGCUCCUUGCACACACCGCCCGUCAAACCACCCGAGUAGGGUCUGGAUAAGGGUGCGCCAUGUUGACGCAUUCGAAUCUGGGCUUUGCAAGGGGGGUUAAGUCGUAACAAGGUAACCAAGGGCGAAU